UAGCUAGUUGGUGAGGUAACGGCCCACCAAGGCGACGAUCGGUAGCCGGACUGAGAGGUUGAACGGCCACAUUGGGACUGAGACACGGCCCAGACUCCUACGGGAGGCAGCAGUGGGGAAUAUUGCACAAUGGGGGAAACCCUGAUGCAGCGACGCCGCGUGGAGGAAGAAGGUCUUCGGAUUGUAAACUCCUGUUGUUGGGGAAGAUAAUGACGGUACCCAACAAGGAAGUGACGGCUAACUACGUGCCAGCAGCCGCGGUAAAACGUAGGUCACAAGCGUUGUCCGGAAUUACUGGGUGUAAAGGGAGCGCAGGCGGGAAGACAAGUUGGAAGUGAAAUCUAUGGGCUCAACCCAUAAACUGCUUUCAAAACUGUUUUUCUUGAGUAGUGCAGAGGUAGGCGGAAUUCCCGGUGUAGCGGUGGAAUGCGUAGAUAUCGGGAGGAACACCAGUGGCGAAGGCGGCCUACUGGGCACCAACUGACGCUGAGGCUCGAAAGUGUGGGUAGCAAACAGGAUUAGAUACCCUGGUAGUCCACACCGUAAACGAUGAUUACUAGGUGUUGGAGGAUUGACCCCUUCAGUGCCGCAGUUAACACAAUAAGUAAUCCACCUGGGGAGUACGACCGCAAGGUUGAAACUCAAAGGAAUUGACGGGGGCCCGCACAAGCAGUGGAGUAUGUGGUUUAAUUCGACGCAACGCGAAGAACCUUACCAAGUCUUGACAUCCCUUGACGAUGCUGGAAACAGUGUUUCUCUUCGGAGCAAGGAGACAGGUGGUGCAUGGUUGUCGUCAGCUCGUGUCGUGAGAUGUUGGGUUAAGUCCCGCAACGAGCGCAACCCUUAUGGUCAGUUACUACGCAAGAGGACUCUGGCCAGACUGCCGUUGACAAAACGGAGGAAGGUGGGGAUGACGUCAAAUCAUCAUGCCCUUUAUGACUUGGGCUACACACGUACUACAAUGGCGUUAAACAAAGAGAAGCAAGACCGCGAGGUGGAGCAAAACUCAGAAACAACGUCCCAGUUCGGACUGCAGGCUGCAACUCGCCUGCACGAAGUUGGAAUUGCUAGUAAUCGUGGAUCAGCAUGCCACGGUGAAUACGUUCCCGGGCCUUGUACACACCGCCCGUCACACCAUGAGAGCCGGGGGGACCCGAAGUCGGUAGUCUAACCGCAAGGAGGACGCCGCCGAAGGUAAAACUGGUGAUUGGGGUGAAGUCGUAACAAGGUAA
rnacentral:rRNA from 1 species